rnacentral:rRNA from 1 species
UACGAAGGGUGCAAACGUUGCUCGGAAUUAUUGGGCGUAAAGCGCACGUAGGCGGCUUAGCAAGUCGGAUGUGAAAUCCCUCGGCUCAACCAAGGAAGUGCAUCCGAAACUGCUGAGCUUGAGUACUUAAGAGGAUCGCGGAAUUCCCGGUGUAGAGGUGAAAUGCGUAGAUAUCGGGAGGAACACCAGAGGCGAAGGCGGGUUACUGGGCUGAUACUGACGCUGGAUGCGCGAAAGCUAGGGGAGCAAACGGG